UGGGGAAUAUUGCACAAUGGGCGCAAGCCUGAUGCAGCGACGCCGCGUGAGGGAUGACGGCCUUCGGGUUGUAAACCUCUUUCAGUACCGACGAAGCGCAAGUGACGGUAGGUGCAGAAGAAGCACCGGCCAACUACGUGCCAGCAGCCGCGGUAAUAAUCACUAGUGAAUUCGCGG
rnacentral:rRNA from 1 species